rnacentral:lncRNA from 1 species
CCCAACCCUGUAAGGCAGAACGGCUGCCCAGCUCGGAUGACGCCACACUAACGUAGCCUCCAGACCGCCCAGUGUGGGUGUGUCCAAGCUCACGUCGCCCGGCGUGGCCCCCCCGCUCCCCAAUGACGUAACUGCCCUGCAGCUUCUAGUAGCUUUUCGCAGCGUCUCCGACCGCCGGGCGCGGUGGCGCGUGCCUGUAGUCCCAGCUACUCGGGAGGCUGAGGUGGGAGGAUCGCUUGAGCCCAGGAGUUCUGGGCUGUAGUGCGCUAUGCCGAUCGGGUGUCCGCACUAAGUUCGGCAUCAAUAUGGUGACCUCCCGGGAGCGGGGGACCACCAGGUUGCCUAAGGAGGGGUGAACCGGCCCAGGUCGGAAACGGAGCAGGUCAAAACUCCCGUGCUGAUCAGUAGUGGGAUCGCGCCUGUGAAUAGCCACUGCACUCCAGCCUGAGCAACAUAGCGAGACCCCGUCUCUUUUGCCCCCCUCCCUCAUUAAGGGUACCUUUCGCGAAAGCUCACCAGUUGACGGGAUGCUUGGGGAUUUGCAACCGCCUCAUCGCUGCCCCCUACCGGCGCAUAUUCAAAACGUCUCUGCGAAAAGCUGUUAUUACCUUCGGAGCCAACAGGGGCUGCUCGUUUACCCACAGACAGUCGGAAAAAAAUGGCCGCCGGAUCACAGAGAGCAAAAAGCAGGGCUAAUCUUCCGAAGAGGAAUCCCACUACUGCCUCCUUAUAAGGGAAAAACUCCUCUCAGAGGAACCCAGAACGCCCUGUGAUGACAGAGGUGAGGGGCCAGCGUGGCAGAAUGCACCACCCUGUCUCCUCGCUUGCUUCUCUCUCCGUCGGAUUGCCAAAAAGGGAACGGCACCUAGACGCCGAAAAGUAACUGAAGCAAAGGGAGUUUAAAGAACGCGCCCAGCCGCCUGGGUCUUGAACCCAGUGUUAAUGAGAGCAAAAACCUCUGCAUCCUCCACUGAGCUGUCCUUGAGCAUGUCUCAUAAUCAUGCUUCAUUUUAAAAACAGAAAUAAGUGAGUAAGCUAUGAAAGAAGACAACCUUUAAAUUUUUCAAAAGUUCUUGGUGGUCUGUGAUUAGAAAUUUCAUCUAUAUGAAAUAACUGUUUUGGAGGGCUUACUGUUAAAUUCAGGCAUUUUAGGGCCAGUGGAAACUGGUUAAGCAUUCACAUCAGUCUUAACAUUAAUCUGAUAAUCUACUGGGAGUUUAAAGACUCUAAGCACUAAACACAGAUUUUCCUCACUGUCUAUAAAAUGAAAGAGGAAAGAAGCAUUGUACUAAAUUUUUUAUAAAG